GACGAACGCUGGCGGCGGGCUUAACACAUGCAAGUCGAACGACGUGGCGAACGGGUGAGUAACACGUAUUCAACCUGCCCUUCAGAGGGGGACAAACGUUGGAAACGACUGCUAAUACCGCAUACUGGAGGAGGGGAUUGCGUCUGAUUAGCUAGUUGGAGGGGUAACGGCCCACCACGGCGAAGAUCAGUAGCCUGUUGUAGGGGAGGAACGGCCACAUUGGGACCUGGACACGGCCCAGAAUCCUACGGGAGGCAGCAGUGGGGAAUCUUCCGCAAGUGACGAAAGUCUGACGGAGCCACGCCGCGUGAGGGAUGACGGCCUUCGGGUUGUAAAGCUCUUUUAGUCGGGACGCGGUAUCGAAAUAGAAAGCCACGGCUAACUACGUGCCAGCAGCCGCGGUAAUUC
rnacentral:rRNA from 1 species